GGACAAUAAGUCAGUGGUGAAAGUCUGCAGCUCAACUGUAGAACUGCCAUUGAUACUGUUGUCCUUGAGUAAUUAUGAAGUGGUUAGAAUAUGUAGUGUAGCGGUGAAAUGCAUAGAUAUUACAUAGAAUACCGAUUGCGAAGGCAGAUCACUAAUAAUUUACUGACGCUGAUGGACGAAAGCGUAGGUAGCGAACAGGAUUAGAUACCCUGGUAGUCUACGCCGUAAACGAUGGUUACUAGCUGUUUGGACCGAUUGAGGUCUGAGUGGCUAAGCGAAAGUGAUAAGUAACCCACCUGGGGAGUACGUUCGCAAGAAUGAAACUCAAAGGAAUUGACGGGGGCCCGCACAAGCGGUGGAGCAUGUGGUUUAAUUCGAUGAUACGCGAGGAACCUUACCAGGGCUUAAAUGUAGUCUGACAGGGGUGGAAACACCCCCUCCUUCGGGCAGAUUACAAGGUGCUGCAUGGUUGUCGUCAGCUCGUGCCGUGAGGUGUCAGGUUAAGUCCUAUAACGAGCGCAACCCCUGUGGUUAGUUGCCAGCGAGUCAUGUCGGGAACUCUAACCAGACUGCCGGUGCAAACCGUGAGGAAGGUGGGGAUGACGUCAAAUCAUCACGGCCCUUACGUCCUGGGCCACACACGUGCUACAAUGGUAGGGACAGAGAGCAGCCACUGGGCGACCAGGAGCGAAUCUAUAAACCCUAUCACAGUUCGGAUCGGAGUCUGCAAC
rnacentral:rRNA from 1 species